rnacentral:lncRNA from 1 species
UGGGCAGUACCUUCGAAUAUUGACCAAAUUAUUCCUUAGUUGUAUGAGGAUCGUCACUUGGGUGUUCUAGAACUUCUUAAUGUUAACAACGAUUAAUCUGGUAAUAGUUUCUCAGAUAAUCCUUGCCAUUUUUGCAUAUUUUUUGGGGUUAACCCUUUUUUUUUGGUAUUGUGUAGGCAAUUUGCUUUGGCUAGGUUAAAAAGGCCCAACGAAGGUGUUGGGGACUCUGAGAGGAAACGACUGAAAAGCGAGUCAUCUUGGUAAGAGCCUUUUGCAAGGUCUGGGGGAAUAGCUAUCGAUGACUUCACAGGUUUUGUCCCUCACCUCCGACGACCAAUUGCUUCCAGUGAGGCUUUACCCAAGGCUACUCUUGGCAGGUCCUUGCCAAAAAACUUAGCGCAAACAACAGGAGCUGCCAUUAGCACUCUCGCUAGUGUGGGGUACACACCUUCAGAAGAUGUACCUCAAAGCGAGAGAGACCAAUGGAAAAAGAGAAAGAGGAUUUUUUCGCAUAGAUUCAUGAGCGAGAUAGGAGGAUUUGUUAGUUAGAGGCACAACUUUACGUUGUCAAUAAAAGGUUGGAGAGGCGGACCCAAUCUUUGAAGGAAGAAAAAAACUCGUCGAAGGGAAGAAAUGGAAAAACUGUUAGAGGCCGAGAAGGUCAUGGAUAUCGUGGAAGCAGUCAUUCAUAUUACCAGUAUGCAGGAAAUUCCGUCGUUAUUUCGGGAAGCAGGUAUACAAUAGGGGUGCUCUCACAGGAAUCCAUUUCUACACCCUGAAGAUGAUACAACCAAGGCAGGACCAUCCGGGGGAGCUGCUGCAGAUGGUGCUGUCAGCAAGGAUGUUUCCAGCUAUUAUGAUGAUGGUGACGACGGCGUUGAUCUUGGUACCUCUCCUGACAAAGGGAAAGGUCCCGCAGAUCUAAACACUUCUUUUGACAAGGGAAAAGGUCGCGUUGUAAAAUAAC